rnacentral:rRNA from 1 species
CCCUUAGAUGUCCUGGGCCGCACGCGCGCUACACUGACAUGUUCAACAAGCCUCCUAGUUCGACAGGAUUUGGGAAAUCUUUGAACGCAUGUCGUGAUAGGGAUAGAUCAUUGCAAUUAUUGAUCUUGAACGAGGAAUUCCUAGUAAACGCGAGUCAUCAGCUCGCAUUGAUUACGUCCCUGCCCUUUGUACACACCGCCCGUCGCACCUACCGUUUGAAUGUUUCGGUGAAGAUUCCGGAUAGGACUUUUUUGAUUUAUUUCAAUUCUGUCUUAAAAGCUAUCUAAACCUCAACAUUUAGAGGAAGGUGAAGUCGUAACA